rnacentral:lncRNA from 1 species
GGGUAACUAUGUAAAAUUAUUCAAAUAAACAUCUCAAUAAAUGUAAAAAUUGGUUUGUGUGCAUCUCUCUAAAAAAGCAGUUAAAAUGGGACAGAGGGAGUAGCUGCUUGGAAGAUAAAAAUUUAUGUGAUGCCAGUUGUAUAAAUUAGAGUGGCAAUUAUGUAUCUGAACGAAGUGAUGCGAAGCUUAAUAGCUUGUUUCAUGUUACUUUUUGUAAGGAAAAUAAAAGAUAAACUGAAUUUAUUAUAAAAACUUAUAGUUGUGUUUCCCAUGUUUUUUUUGGAAAGAAAGAAGAGACGGAGGAGUAGAGUUGAUUCUUUCAGUUUUUCUCAUUAACCAAUUUUCUUGGAAGAUCUAAUGGGGAAUGAGAGAACAACAUUAUAAAAUUCUUAAAAAUCCACAAAUAUUUUUUUCCCAUCUAUCCUUGUCAAAUUGUUAUUCCUCAUCCCACUUUACUCUUUUCUCAUAAAACCUCUCAAACAAGGUUGUACCAUAUUCCUUUUUUCCUGCACCCAUGUUUUUUUUCUCUUUAUUCUAAAUUUGGAUCUGUAAGGCUAUCAAUGGCUUAGCCUAGCAGAUUCCCCUGUCCUAUUGAUAAUUGUUGUUUGAAGGUUUGGAUCCCAGCGGGUGCAGGGUGCUUAUGUAAUUAAAUUUUGUUAUUGACCUUCUGAAAAAAAAAGAUAAAGGAAUGAUUCCAAAUGCUCUCCUGGCACUAAGGUUUUUCAAGGUUUUUCCUCCCGGGGGUUCCCAAAUCAAAUGAGGGUUAUGAUGUUGAUUCCAACUAUCGUAGAUAUGCAAUGUAUAUAUACACAUUGCAGCCAUAGGAAUCAAGAGGGAAUUGGAUAAUAUAAAAUCUGUAUUAUGAGGAAGUAGAUAAUCUAGAAACUAUUUGCUGUCAAGGUCGGUUAAGGUGGUUAGCUCCCUAGUGACGGAGUUAGGACUAAAGUUUGUAGGGGCACAACAUAUAAAUAGUAAGAGAACUAAUAAAAGAUGUGUAAUAUUACAGAAGAAAAGAGAAAUAACUUACAAAUUAAAUUUGCUCCCUUGGAGUGUUCAUUUUCUGAAAUCGGUCUAUUACAUCUUCAUCUGUUACUCUAACAAGGGCUUCCUAUUCUAUAGCUAAAAUAAGACAAUCACUUGGAAAGGUAUCACCAAUAAUGAUUGCGCAAAUUUGACUUCACAAGUUUCAUUGCGGAAAAACAUCUCCCAACUGCCGCGGUUGCAACUGACAAAACCAAUGAUAUAUUCACUAGUCGAUACAUCAAAGAAUAACAUUGAUUUUUUUUCGUUUCAACCAAUACUCUAGCAAGAUCACUAAUACUAUUCAAGCUGGCAAAUCUUCCCUUUGCUUUCACUCGAAGGGAGCAAAUUUAACUUGUAAGUUAUUUCUCUUCUUUUCUAUAAUAUUACACAUCUUUUAUUAGUUUUCUACUAUAUGUUGUGUCCCACUAAACUUUAGUCAUAGAUUCGUCACUGCGGACAUACCAAUUUUUCACUGCUUACACAAAGUAGAUCCUAUAUCUCCAUCUCACACAACACGCUACGUGUGAGAUUAAUUAUAUUCAAAUAUUUAUCCUUGUUCGGCUAGAUUAUCCUGUUCCUCUUUAAAGCUAUGGUGAAGAGAUGAUGUUGCGUUAUGUCUUCUUCAACUUUGAGUCGAGUAAAAUACUCGCUGGAUGUAUCAUAAACUCUAUUUAUGCUUUUACUCGGUGGGUGUUCUUUGCAAGCCAUAUCAAAUACUGUAAAGUAGGCUGUGUUUUGACUGUUUAUUUUAAGUUUGUAAUAUCAACUUGGUCUCCAGAAUUAUGUGUUGAAAGCUAUAUGAAGAAUUUUUCAGGCAGACUUUUAUAUUUGUCGCCCUUAUUAACUUAAAUUGCACAUUCCUAUAAUGAGACAGUGAAUGGUAUCCCGUUGUAGCAGAUGUGUACCUGUGUGAUAUGAUAACAUAGUUAGUCAGACAGCGAGCUUAAUGAACAUAUACUCAAUUAUUUUACUCUCGAUACUUGAUAGAAUCAGGGGUGGUGUUAGUCGAAUGGCAAGCUUAAUGAACAGAUGAGCAACUAUUAUUACUGUGGAUACUUCAUUCAACGAGGACAUGGGUAUAUAUGUGAAAAAUAUAUACGAGAGGCUGAUCCGGUUUUAACAAAUGUCCAAAAUGAUCACAAUUGUACUGAUUUUGCAUGUGUACAUAUCGAGAAUUUAGAUAAUCUUGAAGCUGAUUUCGUACACACAAUUCAUUCAUAUGCCCAACACUUAAGCAGAGUAUCAGCUUUAAUGUUAUAUAAUUCCUGUACUAGAUUGAGUAAAGGGUUCUUUUCCGACAAUUUGCAGCAUGCAUGUUCGAGUACUCUUUACACAUCUUAUAGCUCAAAACUAAGGUAGGGAUUGAUCUAUUAAAUGAUCCAUUUUAUUAUAUUUUUCAUCUUAUGGAUAAUGUCAAGGUGGACGCAUCACGC